UUCGCUCCACACAGAUAAAUUAAUCUGAGCAUGUGGCCAUCCAAAGAGUGGAUGUAACACCAGUAGUUAAGUUGCUUGGGAUAUAGCAAAUGUUAACUACAUUCAUGGUGU
rnacentral:sRNA from 1 species